rnacentral:rRNA from 1 species
AUUUAUUUGAGUAGUAUUAGUUAUGAUCUUGAAACUUAAAAAAUUUGGCGGUAUUUUAUUCUAUUCAGAGGAACCUGUAUAUUAAUUGAUAUUCCACGUUGAAUCUUACUUAAAUUUGUUUUAGUUUAUAUAUCGUCGUUAUAAGAAUAUUUUUUAAAAAUUAAUAAUUUUCUUUAAUUUAUAUAAAAAUUUAUAUCAGAUAAAGGUGUAGCUUAUAUUUAAGUUUUAUUAUGGGUUACAAUAAAUUAAUUUAAAUGAAUAUAAAAUUGAAAUAUUUUAUUGAAAGUGGAUUUGAUAGUAAAAUAAUAUAGAUAAAUUAUU